GGGACCUCAGGUCAGGCGGGGCUACCCG
rnacentral:rRNA from 5 species